UACAGAGGCCUCGAGCGUUAGGCGGAAUCACUGGGCUUAAAGCGUGUGUAGGCGGACUUCUAAGUACCUUGUGAAAUCCCACGGCUCACCCGUGGAACUGCUUGGUAUACUGGUUGUCUUGAGCCUUCUAGGGGCGAGUGGAACAAAUGGUGGAGCGGUGAAAUGCGUAGAUAUCAUUUGGAACGCCAAUGGUGAAAACAACUCGCUGGGGAAGUGCUGACGCUGAGACACGAAAGCGUGGGGAGCAAACAGG
rnacentral:rRNA from 1 species